AUUCUGUUGCAAAGAUUCUCAGAUGAUUCAGGUUGCCUGCUGAUCAUCCAUACCACAGCUCACAUAAGAAGUUUUGUUUCCAAUAGUAGACUUCCCAGUGUGAUUCAAAAGUUUACGUGUUUUGGUGAAGAUGGAUCCUCCAUUUGAUGAAGACACAAGUAGUGAACCCAGUAUAUUGCAAAAUGCAGGAUCUAGUGAUGAUUAUGAUCCUUCAGAGAAUGAAAUGUUUGGUUCUUCAGAGGAAGAAGUGGAAAUAACCCAACACGAAUUACCAAAUCGAAGUAGAAAGAGGCAAAAAAAAGUGGGAGUACGAAGCAGGAAAGAAAGAAAAAAAGAAAUUUGGGUCAGGCAUAUGAAACUAAGGAAGGGAGAAAGGUUCCUGAAAAGACAUUCUCAAACAUAAAUUGUAACUGCAGAUUAAAAUGUGUAGAUAAGAUAUCAGAAGUGGCACGCAGAAGUUCAUUCGAAACAUUUUGGAAUUUAGGUUCUUUUUCCUGUCAGAAUGCUUUUCUAUGUGGGUUAAUUAAGCAAAUAAGUCCUCAACACAGGCGUCCUAGAGAUGGGUCAAGAUUGCCAAAGUCAACCAGCAAUCAAUUUUAUAUUCAAGUUGAUGGAACUAGUGUUAAAGUAUGCAAAAAUUAUUUCCUUCAAACAUUCCAAAUAUCAGAUGGGCGGAUGACCAGAGCUGUACAAAAGUUGAAAAUGGGAGAGCAACCAGGAUCGGACAAACGCGGAAGUGGGAUACCCGUGAACAAAAUCUCUGAUGAAAGAAUGGAUGUUUGGAAGCAUAUUUCAUCAUUCGCCUCAUACCUGUCUCAUUAUACAAGAGCUCAAAAUCCAAACAGAAAAUAUUUAUCCCCUGACCUUAAUGUACGUCUUAUGUAUAACUUAUACAGAGAAUACUGCAAAGAGAAAAAAAUGUUACCUGUUAAAGAGCCCAUUUAUCGCAGAUGUUUCAGUCAUGACUUCAACUUGCACUUUCAUGCUCCACAUAAAGAUACCUGUGUGAAGUGUGACAAGUACAAAAUACAGAUGUCCACUUUAUAAGAUGCCAAACUGACCACUUCUGUGGCCUAUUAUAAAAGAAACAUGUACUUAUACAAUAUUGGCUGUCAUGAGCUGUCAACUGAUAUUGGCUUUAUGUACACAUGGGAUGAGACAAUGGCCUCACGUGGGGCACAAGAAAUAGGUUCUUGUGUUACAAAACAUAUUACUACAAGAGCUUCAGCUUCAAAACAUGCUGUCAUGUAUAGUGACACUUGUACGGGGCAAAAUAGGAAUUUGAAAUUUGCAUUGUGUCUCAUGAAAUUGCUUCACACCAGUGUUAACAUCGACAUUAUGGAGCAUAAAUUUAUGGUCUGAUGAUUUAGAUUUUGGAUCUAUAGAAUCCUAUGCAAAAGGUAAAACAGUUUAUGUUCCUGCUGACUGGUGGUCCAUAAUCGCAAAAUCAAGAAGAAAGAGAGCUUUUAUUGUCACGCAAAUGUCACGUGAAGACUUCAAGUCUACGAAGAAUCUUGAACAAGCUAUUACAAGGAGAAAACAAAAGUCGCUAAAAAAAACAGUGUCGUGGCUUAAUAUGCAGUGGAUUCGUUUACUGAAGAACGAACCUUUUAUGCUCUAUUACAAGGAGACUCUUAAUGAGGAUUUUCCAUUCUCUGCGCUAUGUCUAAAGCCAGCCAAACUAGGAAGGCCAGUUUCACUUGGACGUAUUGCUAUGGAAUACCUAUACCAUGGACCAAGACCUGUAACAAAGUAAAAGGAAAGAGACAUACUGGAUCUUCUACCAUACAUUCCACCCAUCAACCAUGCUUACUUCCAGGGACUUACAACAGCUGAAGCAACAGUAGAUGAU